UUCACAGCUGCUCUCACGUGAGCGGACAGGAGGACGAACCUCAUUUGAAAAGUGCUGACUUUAACUUUGCAUCGCUUCUCAACAGAUGUACACACUUCACUGGGAACCGCCGAACACACAGACACACGCUGUGACUGAUGGAGUCACAUUCGUCAUACGUGUUUACCACCAACACGAGUUUCAACUGCUUUAACCACCAUUCGGCAGCGGAGCUCUGCGGUUAGCCAGCGAGGAAGGCGGCGUAAAGUUGACUGUUUUGACAGCGGGGUCUGGUUUCCCUGUCCACGCCACAACCGCCGACUACACGCCCGCUGGUCUGUGCCGUCUCCUGCCAUGGCUGUGCUCCGUGUCUGUGCCCGGCUACCUGCUCCAGGCUUCUCGGUGUGGAAGUAAGCGGGAAGCAGCCGACAGCAGCGAGAGCUCUCUUAAUGUCUCUCCCUCUCUCUUUCAAUGAGUGUGUGUGUGUGUGUAAGGACAGUGAUUAAAGCAUUCAACUGACUUCAGUUACAAUGAGAGGGUUCUCAAAGAGAACUCCAGAUAAAAGCCGCGUCCCUGAUUCACGACGUUCCUUCAUUUUAUAGCGUCAAGUCUGGAGCAAGAUACACACUCACGCCGCGUGAGGCGGGACUUCAGGGACGUAACCCUCCCAUCUGAAGUAUGUCACUCAAGUCAGGGACAAAAAGUGAGUGGUGAUUCACAAACUUUUUUUUUUUAGAGCACAUUUCAACAAAAUAUACCAUUUCUUA